UACGUAGGGGCUAGCGUUGUCCGGAUUUAUUGGGCGUAAAGAGCGUGUAGGCGGCUUCACAAGUCCGCUGUGAAAACUCGAGGCUCAACCUCGAGAGGUCGGUUGAAACCGUAAGGCUAGAGUCCGGAAGAGGAGAGUGGAAUUCCCGGUGUAGCGGUGAAAUGACGCAGAUAUCGGGAAGAACACCCGUGGCGAAGGCGGCUCUCUGGGACGGUACUGACGCUGA
rnacentral:rRNA from 1 species